rnacentral:tRNA from 1 species
GGGCAGGUAGCUCAGUUGGUUAGAGCGCAUCUCUGAUAAGGAUGAGGUCGACAGUUCAAAUCUGUCUCUGCCCACCA